ACGGAGGGUGCGAGCGUUAAUCGGAAUUACUGGGCGUAAAGCGUGCGUAGGUGGUUCGUUAAGUCCGUUGUGAAAGCCCCGAGCUCAACUUGGGAAUUGCAGUGGAUACUGGCGAGCUGGAGUGCGGUAGAGGAAGGUGGAAUUCCCGGUGUAGCGGUGAAAUGCAUAGAUAUGACCCGGAACACCGAUUGCGAAGGCAGCCCACUAAGCAAUGAUUGACGCUGAGGCACGAAAGCGUGGGGAUCAAACAGGA
rnacentral:rRNA from 1 species